CGCAAUCUACCAACUGUUGAAAAUGUAGGUUAUACUCUAUGACAUUGAUAACUUCUAUAAGUUAAACCUGAAAAAAUAACAUCAAACAGAACCGAUUUAUGUACAAACACAUCAGUAACUUUAUUAGUUCCGGUUAUUUGCAGAAUAAAAAGAAACGUGAUCAACGAUUUUUCUUGGCAGUUUCUACUGGAGACCUAAAAACCAUAACACAGUUAAUUAAUGAUGGUUACGAUCCAAAUACUAUAAAUGAUGACGAUCUUACGGCUUUACAUAUUCUUGCUGAAAAAGGAGACAUGACGACUGCAUGAGAGGCAUAAUCCUGCAAUUUCAUUAAUUUAAAUCCAAAUUUUAGCAAAAUAUUUUCUUACUCUGCCAAGUAUAGACGUUAACAGUCACAUUAAUAUAAAAAACGAAGAUACUCCGCUCAUAUUAUCAAUUUAUUUUCAUCAAUUCAACUUCACAAAUUUACUUUUAAGAUAUGGAGCCAAUCCUAAUAUUGGAAAUAUUAGAGCGAGAACUCCAAUAUUUAGGGCUGUCCAACUAAGAAACACUGCCGUACUUAAAGUCUUACUAUUUGCCAAAGCUCAAGUGGAUGUCUUGGACACGUUUGGUAACACACCCCUUUCUCUCAGUGUUAUUGAAUAUCCUUCCAUCAGGGUCGCUACUAUGUUGCUAAAAUGGGGAGCAAAUCCAAAUAUAAGGAGUAUGAAGUCCAUUCCUAUUCUUUCAGAGUUAUGCUUAAACUGUCAUUCUAUAGAACACUUAAGCAUGGUCAAACUUUUAAUCAACUACAAUGCAAAUGUAAAUAUCACAAAUCCAUUGACAAAAUGGACCCCGUUACAUAUAGUUUCGAUAACUGGUUAUGUAUCAUUGGCAAAAAUGUUACUGGAACAUGGAGCAAAUCGAAACCUAAAGGAUAAAAUGGGUAGGACGCCCUAUGAUAUAGCGAUAGAACAUCAGCACGCCGAUUUAAUUGAGAUGUACAAGGAAGGAAAAAAGAUUGUCCAAGCACUUCUAAAAAGUAUAUCAAUAACAGAUCUUGAGAAACCAUCUACAGGUAGCUUUAAGAAGGGUGGAAAGGGUAGAACGGUUAGAUUUUCUAUGAUGGAGAAGACGGAGUCUGAUGAUGAGUUGCUUCUUCAAAAUAUAAAAACAUCUUAAUAAUAUUGGAAAAUAUUCGUAAAUCUUUUAUUGUUUAAUCAAAUCCGCCUGUAAAAUAUAUGAUUCGGUGUUUGAUCGAUUAGGAUAAUUCCAAAUUGUAAAGAUAAAAAUUGUAUAGAUAUUAUAUAUAUAUUUAAAUUAAA